rnacentral:rRNA from 1 species
GAUGAACGCUGGCGGCGUGCCUAAUACAUGCAAGUCGAGCGAACAGAUAAGGAGCUUGCUCCUUUGAAGUUAGCGGCGGACGGGUGAGUAACACGUGGGUAACCUACCUAUAAGACUGGGAUAACUUCGGGAAACCGGAGCUAAUACCGGAUAACAUUUAGAACCGCAUGGUUCUAAAGUGAAAGAUGGUUUUGCUAUCACUUAUAGAUGGACCCGCGCCGUAUUAGCUAGUUGGUAAGGUAACGGCUUACCAAGGCGACUAUACGUAGCCGACCUGAGAGGGUGAUCGGCCACACUGGAACUGAGACACGGUCCAGACUCCUACGGGAGGCAGCAGUAGGGAAUCUUCCGCAAUGGGCGAAAGCCUGACGGAGCAACGCCGCGUGAGUGAUGAAGGGUUUCGGCUCGUAAAACUCUGUUAUUAGGGAAGAACAAAUGUGUAAGUAACUGUGCACAUCUUGACGGUACCUAAUCAGAAAGCCACGGCUAACUACGUG